rnacentral:rRNA from 1 species
UACGGAGGGGGCUAGCGUUGUUCGGAAUUACUGGGCGUAAAGCGCACGUAGGCGGCUUUGUAAGUUAGAGGUGAAAGCCCGGGGCUCAACCCCGGAAUUGCCUUUAAGACUGCAUCGCUAGAAUUGUGGAGAGGUAAGUGGAAUUCCGAGUGUAGAGGUGAAAUUCGUAGAUAUUCGGAGGAACACCAGUGGCGAAGGCGGCUCACUGGUCCAUUACUGACGCUGAGGUGCGAAAGCGUGGGGAGCAAACAGG